rnacentral:rRNA from 1 species
UACAUAGGGUGCAAGCGUUGUCCGGAAUUAUUGGGCGUAAAGAGCUCGUAGGUGGUUCGUCACGUCGGAUGUGAAACUCUGGGGCUUAACCCCUGACCUGCAUCCGAUACGGUCGAGCUAGAGUUUGGUAGGGGAGACUGGAAUUCCUGGUGUAGCGGUGGAAUGCGCAGAUAUCAGGAGGAACACCGAUGGCGAAGGCAGGUCUCUGGGCCAAUACUGACACUGAGGAGCGAAAGCGUGGGGAGCGAACAGG